UUUGAACCUAGUCAUAUCAUCCAGUCAACAACUCAGGGUCUAGAGUGGGCAGCAAACUCAGCGACAGUGUGUUGGUGUCUGAGGGGAAAAGCCUCAUUUGCAGCAAGCUGGAAUCAUCAGAUGCUUUCUCUGUUCAGCAACACUGGGCAUGGAGACAGAUUUACACAGCUCUGCAUGCCUCCCCUUGCUACUGCUCCAGCUUCAUCCCACAGCAGCCGUAAGCCAGUCACUGACACACCAGCCAUACGGACUUUUUGUAUGUGGAAUUCCGUGUUUCCGAGGUAAGGGCUUCAUACCUGGAGGUGCUCCCAGCCUGGCAUCCUCUUUCCAAUGACAUUCACACUGCAGGUUCCUUCCCAACAAUCAGAAAUCAGAGGCAGCUUUCUGGCCAGAUGGUUCCAACCGAACGGUUCCAUCCCCUUCUUACCAGAUAGCACCAUCUUUUAGCUUUCUGAUCAAUGAAAGAAGGGCAUUAUUUAUGUAUUGAUUCACUUACUUCCUCUCUGUCUGACUUGAGAGGAUGUAUAUUCCCCAAGAGUAUGUUUUCUCAUUCAACAUUAUUUCUUCAGUUCUGGGUACAGAGGAGUGGCUGAUGAUGAGAAACCACUCCAAAAAAAAUGUGUUGAAUUGAGAAAUGUGAGACAGUUAUUUGAACAGCAUACAAAAAGUAAUUUGGGAAGAAUGCACAAUUUGCAUGUUAAAUCUACCUUCAUUCUUCACUUAUUAGUACAUUAAAAUUAAAGUAAGUUUUGUAAUGAAUUUGAUCACAAACACAUACAAAUGUGAGGCACUUAAUUAUAUAACAGUACAGCAUUGUGUGGUGGCUUUAAACGCUUUAAGAUCUGUUUUUAUUAUCCUCAUCAAAAUGGAAACACAGAAUGAGACAGUACUCAUGGGAAACUCACAGAACUUAGGAAGGUAUCUAUGGAUUUCAGGGUUUUUUUAACCUACUGCACAAGUGUUGAAGAAGUUGCACGGUUUCAGAUGUGUUUCUGGGUGCAGGACUGUGAGAUUGGUGGUGAUCUUGGGACCCCUAGAUUCCUUGAGAGGCCUGAACCAAGGAGCACGUUAUUUUCUCCUUCAGCAUCUUAAUGAAAUCGUCUGAGUGCAGUCAUUCUCCUGUUUGAUAGAAGAGUUUAGUACAGUUAGGAAUUUUGCUAAUUGCCAGGACUGAAGUCUAAGGUUCCUGACUCAAUCAUAAAUAUCUAUGCCAAUAACUUACUUUCUGAUAAAAGCAGAUGGAUUUGAUUUUGCAAAAAUCUGGAUGAUUCACUAUUAGAUAUAAUUGCUAUUGUGUGAACAAAAGAAAGCUGCAUUUCCACAGUAAGAGGAAAAGGGUGCAUUUCCUUAGCGUUGAUAAAAUAGCUUUCAAAGGAUUGACAUGCGAUGGUCAUAUAAUGCCUUUGGCAAAACUGGCCACCCUCAUGGGAACUGAAUACUGAUAAUGAAUUCCACUGUUGCCGUCACUUAGUGCUUAGUACAGGUACAUGUCAUUGUGUCAACGACAGAUGAUUUUCAAUUUAAUUGUCCCACAUCUUCUAUAAUUCUAAAGAUGAUGUUUCCAUAAGAAGAAAGGAAAUUAUAAAUAACCUGCAAAAUUAAGGCCCCAGAUUUUUAUUAUGAAUAAUUCAUUGUCAUUAUUCUAUCCCACCAUUUUUAUACUGAUCCUUAGGAAGUUACAGCUAAAUUUUAAACUAUAGAAAAGGACGAUAGAACUAUUAGACAUCUGGCAUGCUUUACUUUUUUAUGAAACUUGACUUUAUCUCAGAAGAAACAAACUCAUAGAAUGACAUUUUGUUAACACAAAAUCUCUGCUUGCUUGAAUUUGCACUUGUUAAAUUUUAACUGAGCUAAAAAGAGAAAUCUUUCAUCAUACCGCUUGCUGCCAGGCCUGUAACGAAAGACACCCUGCUGGUUGUAGCUCUAAUAAUAAACUUUCUUUCAUAUGGGCCUUUCAAAGUUACAGGGUCACAAAGUGCCUGGAAAUAAAUCUCAAAAAGAACAGCAAAUUCUGGAAUCGCAUCCAAAUUCUUUAUGCCUGUGACUAUAACAGAGUUAAUAAGUUGUGGAUGUAAGUGAAUAACUGCGAGCAGACCCAGAGGUGAGUAUGUUCAACAGAUAAAAACGAGCAGGUGUUGAGGGCCCGCAGAAAGGAGCUAUGAGCUGCAGGGGUUUAGGGCAGAUACUUGCAGAAUUUCACUUAGGCUGUGGGAAGCAUAGCUGAGGGCCUAGGAUGAGGGAGCCUUGGAGAUGAAUGCACAUGGGAGACCACCGCACACCUGGGGCCUGGAAGGGCAUGGGGGCCUGAGCUGAUGUCGUGCUCAUGAGCUUGUCAACAGUCAUUGGUUAAAUCCUUGUGAACAUGAAAGCCUUAACUGUUCAUUUUCUGGGACUAUCUCCUAUGUAAAGCCUAAGGGAGCCCAACCAUCCCCCACUUUGCACAAAGAUGACUCACUCUCAUUCUUUCCUUUCUUUCUUCUUCCCUCCAAUAUUGAGAAAUGGCAAAGGUUCGGAUAGAAGACUUGAUACAUUUUGAUAUUUGACACUUGAGCCCCUCCCAGUGUUAGGAGUAGGUCCUCUUUACGGGGAGGCGUUUCCCCUUCUUCCCCACCUCCCUGUCUCUGGGCACAUUUACUUUGCUUUACAUCUGACAUAAGUGUCAUUUUAGUUACAUAUUUCCUCCCUUGUUCAAGACACAGCACCUCUAGGGGAAUCUGUACAUGACAUCUCUUUUGGGGUCAUCCUUUCCUCAUUUUGUUCCUAGUACAGUAUCAGUAUUUCUCUUUUUCCGUAUUAUUUAACUCCAUGGUAAGAAAUUUCAAAAUACACUUUGUUAGUUUGCUUAUUAUUAAUUUUUUAUUAGAACAGGCUUUCUUAUGCUUAAGUGAUUGUGUUUUCCCUUACUAAAAUCCAUUUUUAUUUUAGCUGAGUUAAUUCCCCAAGGUAUUGAAGAAUUCUUCUCUGAUUUGUGCUAAAUUAUAAACCACCUACGAGUUUUGCAUAGUGGCAUUUACAUGUGGCUUUUAUCGUUGGCUCACCAUAAAAUCUACUUUAGGUUAAGUUUAACUUUUUAAGGCAAGUUGCAGUUUGUUACUAGGUCACAUUUCUGAUGGUUUCAUUAAAUAACAAUUGAUUUGCAUUUAGGCACAAAGUCCUGCUUUACCAGGGAGGCUCUUGACCCAAAGAAAUGUUAUCAGUCACCCAAGUCAACACUUCCAUUUAAUGCUUAAAAUUUGCCAGUGCUUUGCCGAGGUGUAACCUGUCACCUUGAUCAUUUUCAACACUUCCAGUGACUGGUAAUCAAAAUCAUCCUGUUUCAUAUUUGGUCAUCUGUUCUGAGGUAAAGUGCUACCUGAACUAAAACCAAUAUGCCCUUCACUUCCCUUCAAUGGUCUUUGUCACAGACCUUGCGGAAAAGAAAAAAGUUAAUAUCCAUGUGACAGCUCUACAAUUAUCUGUAAAUGUUUCCAUUCCUCCAUUCAGUCUCUUCAUUUAAUGGACUUCACAGACCACUCACCAGUGUCUCUUAAGGGGAUUUGCUCGUGCUACUGACAGGACCCUCAAAUUAGACCAAGAAAAGCCAAGUAUAGGACAGGGCUGUUGCCUAUUCUUAAGGCAUGUUUUCUGUGCAUCUGAGGGUCACAGUAAGGAUUUUUGAAUCACAUCACUCUGUUGACUAACAUUAGGUUUAUAAUUAAAACUUUUAUUUUUAAAAUUUGUGCAUUUAUUUAUUCCCUAAAACGCUGCUCUAUGGGAGCCCCUGAAGAUGGCUGUACCAUUUUAUAUUCCUAUCAGCAAUGCACAGGGGUUCUUGUUUCUCUGUGUCCUUACCAACACUUGGUACUGUCUGUCUUUUUAUUACAGAUACUCUAAUGGACAUUUGAUUUAAUUUGUACCUUCCUAAAGACUAACGAAACUAUCUUUUUAUUUGCUUAUUUAUCAUUCAGAUAUCUUUUUUGAUGAGAUGGCUUUAAAACUUAUGCUCAGUUUAAAAUUGAGAAUUUUAUUUAGUUAUAAUUGAAAAGUUGAGUUCUUUACAAUCUAUCAAAUACAUGAUUUGCAAGUGUUUCCUUCUAGCUUAUGACUUCCCUUUAAUCUUUUAUCUUUUUACUGUGUUGAAUUUUAUUUAAUUUAUUUUUUUAUACAGCAGGUUCUUAUUAGUCAUCCAUUUUAUAUACAUCACUGUAUACAUGUCAAUACCAAUCGCCCAAUUCAUCACACCACCACUCCCACCCCCCCAACACUUUCCCCCCUUGGUGUCCAUACGUUUGUUCUCUACAUCUGUAUCUCAAUUUCUGCCCUGCAAACUGGUUCAUCUGUACCAUUUUUCUAGGUUCCACAUAUAUGCAUUAAUAUACAAUAUUUGUUUUUCUCUUUCUGACUUACUUCACUCUGUAUGACAGUCUCUAGAUCCACCCACGUCUCAACAAAUGACCCAAUUUCGUUCCUUUUUAUGGCUGAGUAAUAUUCCACUGUAUAUAUGUACCACAUCUUCUUUAUCCAUUCAUCUGUCAAUGGGCAUUUAGGUUGCUGCCAUGACCUGGCUAUUGUAAAUAGUGCUGCAACGAACACUGGGGGGUAUGU